CACGCUGUGUUGGUGCUCAAGUAGUGGCACUGACCAUGCAGAUGAUUCUGGUCCACAUCGAAAGAGGGUUAAUGCAGGUCGUGGCCAAGGAUGUAUUAAUCUUGUUUUUACAUGAUUCAAGAUUUGAAUCAAUGAUGUAUUUUUUGACCACUUGAUAGAAGGCUCGCUUUUGGCAGGCCGUUUAGCGCCGAAUUCCGUGAAAUCGCUUUUUCAGCUUUGUAGUGCGUUCGAACUCUCACCUCGGAGAGUGUCCCGUUCAAUCUGAUUGUCUUACCGGGCGUCGAGAUCUCGUCAAAGAAAAAUCGUGGCCUGUAUUUCAAGUGACCAAAAAAUAGUUUGCAGUUAAAGUUAGAUGAAGUCCAAUUAUUCUUGAUCGCUGCUUGCUUUAAACCUCUUUCGGGUCCUAGUCACCCAACUGUUCGGGAGCUAUAUACCAUUUCUGUGAGCCUCUUUCGGGAGCUAUUUACUGGCCAAAUCACGCUGUGUUGGUGCUCAAGUAGUGGCACUGACCAUGCAGAUGAUUCUGGUCCACAUCGAAAGAGGGUUAAUGCAGGUCGUGGCCAAGGAUGUAUUAAUCUUGUUUUUACAUGAUUCAAGAUUUGAAUCAAUGAUGUAUUUUUUGACCACUUGAUAGAAGGCUCGCUUUUGGCAGGCCGUUUAGCGCCGAAUUCCGUGAAAUCGCUUUUUCAGCUUUGUAGUGCGUUCGAACUCUCACCUCGGAGAGUGUCCCGUUCAAUCUGAUUGUCUUACCGGGCGUCGAGAUCUCGUCAAAGAAAAAUCGUGGCCUGUAUUUCAAGUGACCAAAAAAUAGUUUGCAGUUAAAGUUAGAUGAAGUCCAAUUAUUCUUGAUCGCUGCUUGCUUUAAACCUCUUUCGGGUCCUAGUCACCCAACUGUUCGGGAGCUAUAUACCAUUUCUGUGAGCCUCUUUCGGGAGCUAUUUACUGGCCAAAUCACGCUGUGUUGGUGCUCAAGUAGUGGCACUGACCAUGCAGAUGAUUCUGGUCCACAUCGAAAGAGGGUUAAUGCAGGUCGUGGCCAAGGAUGUAUUAAUCUUGUUUUUACAUGAUUCAAGAUUUGAAUCAAUGAUGUAUUUUUUGACCACUUGAUAGAAGGCUCGCUUUUGGCAGGCCGUUUAGCGCCGAAUUCCGUGAAAUCGCUUUUUCAGCUUUGUAGUGCGUUCGAACUCUCACCUCGGAGAGUGUCCCGUUCAAUCUGAUUGUCUUACCGGGCGUCGAGAUCUCGUCAAAGAAAAAUCGUGGCCUGUAUUUCAAGUGACCAAAAAAUAGUUUGCAGUUAAAGUUAGAUGAAGUCCAAUUAUUCUUGAUCGCUGCUUGCUUUAAACCUCUUUCGGGUCCUAGUCACCCAACUGUUCGGGAGCUAUAUACCAUUUCUGUGAGCCUCUUUCGGGAGCUAUUUACUGGCCAAAUCACGCUGUGUUGGUGCUCAAGUAGUGGCACUGACCAUGCAGAUGAUUCUGGUCCACAUCGAAAGAGGGUUAAUGCAGGUCGUGGCCAAGGAUGUAUUAAUCUUGUUUUUACAUGAUUCAAGAUUUGAAUCAAUGAUGUAUUUUUUGACCACUUGAUAGAAGGCUCGCUUUUGGCAGGCCGUUUAGCGCCGAAUUCCGUGAAAUCGCUUUUUCAGCUUUGUAGUGCGUUCGAACUCUCACCUCGGAGAGUGUCCCGUUCAAUCUGAUUGUCUUACCGGGCGUCGAGAUCUCGUCAAAGAAAAAUCGUGGCCUGUAUUUCAAGUGACCAAAAAAUAGUUUGCAGUUAAAGUUAGAUGAAGUCCAAUUAUUCUUGAUCGCUGCUUGCUUUAAACCUCUUUCGGGUCCUAGUCACCCAACUGUUCGGGAGCUAUAUACCAUUUCUGUGAGCCUCUUUCGGGAGCUAUUUACUGGCCAAAUCACGCUGUGUUGGUGCUCAAGUAGUGGCACUGACCAUGCAGAUGAUUCUGGUCCACAUCGAAAGAGGGUUAAUGCAGGUCGUGGCCAAGGAUGUAUUAAUCUUGUUUUUACAUGAUUCAAGAUUUGAAUCAAUGAUGUAUUUUUUGACCACUUGAUAGAAGGCUCGCUUUUGGCAGGCCGUUUAGCGCCGAAUUCCGUGAAAUCGCUUUUUCAGCUUUGUAGUGCGUUCGAACUCUCACCUCGGAGAGUGUCCCGUUCAAUCUGAUUGUCUUACCGGGCGUCGAGAUCUCGUCAAAGAAAAAUCGUGGCCUGUAUUUCAAGUGACCAAAAAAUAGUUUGCAGUUAAAGUUAGAUGAAGUCCAAUUAUUCUUGAUCGCUGCUUGCUUUAAACCUCUUUCGGGUCCUAGUCACCCAACUGUUCGGGAGCUAUAUACCAUUUCUGUGAGCCUCUUUCGGGAGCUAUUUACUGGCCAAAUCACGCUGUGUUGGUGCUCAAGUAGUGGCACUGACCAUGCAGAUGAUUCUGGUCCACAUCGAAAGAGGGUUAAUGCAGGUCGUGGCCAAGGAUGUAUUAAUCUUGUUUUUACAUGAUUCAAGAUUUGAAUCAAUGAUGUAUUUUUUGACCACUUGAUAGAAGGCUCGCUUUUGGCAGGCCGUUUAGCGCCGAAUUCCGUGAAAUCGCUUUUUCAGCUUUGUAGUGCGUUCGAACUCUCACCUCGGAGAGUGUCCCGUUCAAUCUGAUUGUCUUACCGGGCGUCGAGAUCUCGUCAAAGAAAAAUCGUGGCCUGUAUUUCAAGUGACCAAAAAAUAGUUUGCAGUUAAAGUUAGAUGAAGUCCAAUUAUUCUUGAUCGCUGCUUGCUUUAAACCUCUUUCGGGUCCUAGUCACCCAACUGUUCGGGAGCUAUAUACCAUUUCUGUGAGCCUCUUUCGGGAGCUAUUUACUGGCCAAAUCACGCUGUGUUGGUGCUCAAGUAGUGGCACUGACCAUGCAGAUGAUUCUGGUCCACAUCGAAAGAGGGUUAAUGCAGGUCGUGGCCAAGGAUGUAUUAAUCUUGUUUUUACAUGAUUCAAGAUUUGAAUCAAUGAUGUAUUUUUUGACCACUUGAUAGAAGGCUCGCUUUUGGCAGGCCGUUUAGCGCCGAAUUCCGUGAAAUCGCUUUUUCAGCUUUGUAGUGCGUUCGAACUCUCACCUCGGAGAGUGUCCCGUUCAAUCUGAUUGUCUUACCGGGCGUCGAGAUCUCGUCAAAGAAAAAUCGUGGCCUGUAUUUCAAGUGACCAAAAAAUAGUUUGCAGUUAAAGUUAGAUGAAGUCCAAUUAUUCUUGAUCGCUGCUUGCUUUAAACCUCUUUCGGGUCCUAGUCACCCAACUGUUCGGGAGCUAUAUACCAUUUCUGUGAGCCUCUUUCGGGAGCUAUUUACUGGCCAAAUCACGCUGUGUUGGUGCUCAAGUAGUGGCACUGACCAUGCAGAUGAUUCUGGUCCACAUCGAAAGAGGGUUAAUGCAGGUCGUGGCCAAGGAUGUAUUAAUCUUGUUUUUACAUGAUUCAAGAUUUGAAUCAAUGAUGUAUUUUUUGACCACUUGAUAGAAGGCUCGCUUUUGGCAGGCCGUUUAGCGCCGAAUUCCGUGAAAUCGCUUUUUCAGCUUUGUAGUGCGUUCGAACUC